CUUUAUCAAUAAUUCACAAAGUUGAAAUCAAGCGCUAUAAUUUUCACCAAAACCAGUCUUAGUUCAUAUCCGGAUACUUAAGUUGAUUGACGUGGAAGCGAUAUCUAGUUCAUAAUGAAGUUCCUUGCGUGCCUUACGUUAACAACACUGGUUUCUUUGAUUGUGGCUGUGCCAUUUCCAAGAGAAGACUUUACCAGAGAGCUUGGAAAAUCCGGUCAUUACGACAAAGCUGUUCCUCAUGAAGAGAAGAGAGCUCCUUUAUGUAGAAAUGCUGCAGGCGAAAUUUAUUGCCAGCUAGAAGUAUAUUACGAGGAUUCCUGCCUUUAUCAACCAGGAAUCAUGAAACAGAAUUGCAGAAGAAUGUGCGGAUUUUGCUAGGCCCGAUGCUGUCUGUAAAGAGUUGUCUAUUUCAUGUAUAUUGAAGCCUUUGUAGCAGUGAAACCAUACGAAAGUGGAACUCAGAAUGUGUUUCCAAAACUCGUUUUAAUAAUUGAGCUAAAUUAUCCGAAAUUCAAAUGCUCUUCUUUUUGUUCAUUAGUAAUGAACAGCGACAAAAUGUAAGUUUCAGACUCCGUUAAAUAAAAUGAACAAAAGAGAGAAAGUA
rnacentral:lncRNA from 1 species